GAGGGACGACGGCCUUCGGGUUGUAAACCUCUUUCAGCAGGGACGAAGCGAAAGUGACGGUACCUGCAGAAGAAGCACCGGCCAACUACGUGCCAGCAGCCGCGGUAAUACGUAGGGUGCAAGCGUUGUCCGGAAUUAUUGGGCGUAAAGAGCUCGUAGGCGGUCUGUCGCGUCGGCUGUGAAAUCCCGAGGCUCAACCUCGGGCCUGCAGUCGAUACGGGCAGACUAGAGUGUGGUAGGGGAGACUGGAAUUCCUGGUGUAGCGGUGAAAUGCGCAGAUAUCAGGAGGAACACCGGUGGCGAAGGCGGGUCUCUGGGCCAUUACUGACGCUGAGGAGCGAAAGCGUGGGGAGCGAACAGGAUUAGAUACCCUGGUAGUCCACGCCGUAAACGUUGGGCGCUAGGUGUUGGGGACCUUCCACGUCCUCGGUGCCGCAGCUAACGCAUUAAGCGCCCCGCCUGGGGAGUACGGCCGCAAGGCUAAAACUCAAAGGAAUUGACGGGGGCCCGCACAAGCGGCGGAGCAUGUGGCUUAAUUCGACGCAACGCGAAGAACCUUACCAAGGCUUGACAUACAGGAAAUCCGGCAGAAAUG
rnacentral:rRNA from 1 species